UUCCCAUGGCAUAUGGAGGUUUCCAGGCUAGGGGUCUAAUCAGAGCUGUAGCCGCUGGCCUACGCCAGAGCCACCGCAACACGGGAUCCGAGCCGCAUCUGCUACCUACACCACAGCUCAUGGCAACUCCGGAUCUUUAACUCACUGAGCAAGGACAGGGAUCGAACCCACAACCCCAUUGUUCCUAGUCAGAUUUGUUAACCACUGCACCACUACGGGCAUUCCUAAAGCACUUUAAGAAUAAAGAGCAAAUGAGUGAUCUGAACCAAGUGUUAUUUUUAUAACAAAGGGGAAAAUCUAAUAAAUACAUUUCAUUUCUAACUCUAACAAGACACGUUGUUAAUUAGAACAAGUAAAUAUUAAUUUGAGAGCCUGUCAAACUUGCGAUUAGGAACAAAAUCCGACAUCUUAUUUAAACCAACCACUGGCAAAUCUGUAUUUAUUUGUUAACUUUCUAAAACCAGGGCCAGCAGUGACAUCUAAGCAAUGCAUCUCAAUCUUGAAAGGUACUUCUGUGGAGCUGCUCCAUGUUUCUUCUCUUAAAUGUGCUUUCCACUCCUCUACCACCCCCCACACCAUUGCCAUUGGCCACCAUUAUUUCCUUCAUGAAUUCACCCAGAUUGUGAUAUCAGGAUAUCAGAAUUAUGUUGACACCUUGAUUUAGCGUAAUUUUCAUUGGAUUAGGGCUGGGCUCUUGUUUACCACUGCCUAUUCUUUUUUUUUUGUCUUUUGAGGGCAGAACCCUUGGCAUGUGGAGGUUCCCAGAGUAGGGGUAGAAUAGGAGCUGUAGCUGCCAGCCUACACCACAGCCACAGCAACGCAGGAUCAAAGCCGCAUCUGCAACCUACACCAGAGCUCAUAGCAAUGCCAGAUCCUUAACCCACUGAGUAAGGCCAGGGAUUGAACCUGCGUCCUCAGGGAUAAUAGGUUUGUUAACCACUGAGCUAUGAUGGGAACUCCAGACCACUGCCCACUCUUGAACUAGAGACACUUAUAUGGACCCAUGAAAAAGGUCUUUCAGCUUCCUGUUCCAACCACGGUCCUCUCCUUAGUCUAGAAUACUCCAGAGAGGCAAAAGGCAAGAGGCAGGAGGCAACAAGUGAUAGAUACUGGGUUUGCUGAGAGUUUUCUGUUGUUAUCUCCCAUCCAAAACAGAGCAAACAUGCCUGUGGUUACCAGCAAUUAAUGCAUUUUUUUCACAAAUAUGGUCAUUUAUCAAGGGUUACCUAGUAAUAACAUCAGGAUCUAAAAAUUGCAGGUUGCAUGCUCUCCAGUUUUAACAUUUGAAUUCAUUCUUUACCAAGAAUUGUCCUGCUCCCAUACCUUGAAAAGGACCAAAGAAGAGCCUUUCCCCUUCAAUAUUCCUGAUAAUGACUUUCAAAUGUUGGCAUUUAUGCAUGAGCAAAAGCCACUUUUCAAAGGAUAAUGUAACUGAAUUCAUCUUCUUCUUUUGACCUUUAAAUGACUUUUUGGUCUUGCCUCACUUAUCUUUCUUACUUCUUUGGUUUUGCCAUUCUCUCUCAUCUUCUGAGAUCAUUGAAUCAGGGCUUCAGGUUGUACAAUUAUUUUUUAAAUCCUUCACAAAUGUAGAUGUUCCUGUUUCUCAGGUAAUGCCCUGUAUAGAUUUUAUUUGAUAUUUUAAUGAUGUUCUUUCUCAUAGAGUAAUAUACUUAAAAAGAUUUCAAAAUUCUAACUUUAUACUUAAACAUAAUAAAAAAAUAGUACUUAGAGAAGUAUUAUAAAGCAUAAUACUUACACCUCUUGCACAUAUCUGCUAUAAAUUAAUAAAAUUACCAAAUGAGAAAUACAAACAAUGAACAUAAAACAGAGUUUAGAGUCAAUCUUCUACCUGGAAUUUCUUACAUAAGCCAUCAAUAUGAGAAAAACUAUUAAAAUCUAAGGAAAAAAAUUAAGUAAAUCAAUAAAUAGUGUUUUAUACAAAGGAAGAUAGUAUUUUUGAAAACUAUUAAAUUGUUGCUAUUCUCCUAAAGUUAUAAAUUCUUAUAAUUUUAUAAAGAAAUAAUCUGCCUGUUUACCUAUAUUUGUAUAGUUGGAAAUAUUAAUAUAAAAUAUAUCCCAACUUACCAGUAAAAAUCUCUUUUAUUUUGCAUGCAAUAAAAAUAAAUCUUUUAUAUAAUGUUAAAUUUUGGCAUGUGAAUUUAAAUUUAUAAGUUGUUUUUCAAGGGUUUUAUAGACAUCUUAAUUAGUACCCUGUCUAUUUAAUUUUGUUUGCAUCAGCCCAAUCUUUCAUGAAAAUAGAAAUACUAUUCAAAUCAUAUUCUCAGGAAAUAUGUCCUUUUUUGUUAUACAUUAUGUACUGAAUUUUUUAAAAAAAUCCCAAAGCAAAAAAAAUGUGAUAGUUACUGGAGGAGUCAGAGGAGUUGUAAUUUUAAGUAUAAUUUAGCCCAAUAAAUUUUAAAAGAUUAUCAGUUUUUCUUGACUUUCAUGAGUUUCAGAAAAACUUAAGUAUAUGUAACCAACUUGAGCUCUAUGUGGGUGUAUACAUAUGUGUAUAUAUAUGGAUAGCCAUAGUGACAAUAACUGUAUAAAAUAUUCGCUUCACUAAUUUUCAAGUUGCUCAUUAGUUAUAAUUGUGCAUUAAUCUUUUACUAGUUUUUUUGUGUACCUUUGUGUGUGUGUGUAAAAGAUUUUGCUUUAAAACUGCUUUCCAUUUUACAUUAGGUUCAUUUAAAUUUAAACUUUCAAUAGCCUUGAAUAACAAUAGUGCCAGCUUAAGGAGUUUCAGCUAUUUUGCUAGAUGCUGAGAAAAUAAAGACUAAUGGCUCCUUAUUUAGAGGGGUACCUGGGCUAAUAGAGGAGGCUUUCAUGUAUGUGACUGAGUAAAGUGCAAUAUACUGUCACGAGAACCCAGAGGAAGGGGUGAUUUAUAUUGUCUGUGGAUAGUGAAUAUUCAUUUUCAGGAAAACUAACACUGCAUUGAGCUAUGUGAGACAUACUUUGCUUUUUACCUAUGAAUUCUGUAUUACCUCAAUAGGCCUUCUCCAAAACUGUGAUUUUUGUAGUUUUAGAUUUCUAUUUUGCUCCUAUGCUUUCACAGUUUUGGAGUCGUAAAAUAUAAGAAGCCACAGUGUGUGAUGAACCAUCUCAUCUCUUUGAUGAUUAGUCUCUUAAAUGUUGUAAGACUUAGAAUUCUGACAGCAGAGGACCACUAAAUAUCUCAAAGGAGAUUAUUUUACUCAGUCGCCUCAUUUAAUAUAUAGUGAAACCAGGUACCAGAAGAAUUACACUUUUUUUUUUUCAAGGUCAGAGUUAAAGGGUAACAAAUCAGGAAUAAAACUCAGCCAUGUGGACUUUGAGUGCUUAGCUUAUUUUUGUUUUGUUUUCUAGGCUAUAUCAUUAUUUCCCUGAAUUUCAUUUAGAUUAGAAAAUUAGGAUGUUCUCUUUUCAUUAUGCUUAUUCCUCUGCUCACUGUGUUCCUUAAUAUUUCUAAGGAGUCAUUUCAGAGUAAUUAAAUGAUCAACAUAAGGGUUUUAUAGGCUGGAGACUUAAAAUAGCAUUAGUUUUUUAAACUAGGGAUGUCAUGUUUUUGCCAUCUGUUCAUAAAAAUUUUUAUUAUUUAAUACGCCAUUUCACUUAUUUCUUCAUCCAAGAAAAAAUAACAAGUAUUAAAAUGCUCAAAAUAUUUUACAUACUUUUUCCAAGUUAUUAGUAUAUAAUUAUGGAUAGUUUAAUAUUUCCAUGCUUAUGUAGAUUUUUCAUGACAAAACAUUACUUAACCACUUAGGGACUUUGAAUAAGUUUUUAUAAUUUUUUGAAACAAAUUCCUUAUCUUAGGUCAUCUCUAGGUUCACACUAACUGAUUCCUUUUUCCCCAUCUAGGUUUCUUGCACCGUCCUUUUUAGUGUGAGAUAAAACAGCAUAUUUCCUCAAAUAACAACUUUAACAAAAAUUUGCAAAUAUUCUUCUUUCCCUGAGGUUUAUUCUGUUCAUUAUUUUAAAACAUGGUCUUCAAGCAAAGCAGUUAUUUUAAAAAACUCAACUUCUCACCUUCCCAACACUCUCUUGUGUCAUAUAGCUACAUAAUUAAUUCCUUUUAGUGACUUAACUAUUAAACAUAAAUAAGUGCACAUAUUUUAAAAAGCAGAUUAUUUCAAUUACAUUGAAUUAAGAACAAGGAGACUACAUAUUCUAACAACUUUUGCAAAUUCUUCCUUCAAUCCUUCUUUGAUCCUUUCUUUUUCUUUCUUUCUUUCUUUCUUGCUUUCUUGCUUUCUUGCUUUCUCUCUCUCUCUCUCUCUCUCUUUCUUUCUUUCUCUUUUUAGGGCCUCACUUGAGGCAUGUGGAAAUUCCCAGGUUAGGGGUCAAAUCGGAGCUAUAGCUGAUCCAAGUCAUAUCUGUGCCCUACACCAUAGCUCAUGGCAACACCAGAUCCUUAACCCACUGAACUAGGCCAGGGAUUGAACCUGCAUCCUCAAGGAUGCUAGUCAGAUUCAUUUCCAGUGAGCCACAAUGGGAACUCUUCUUUUUCUAUUUAAUCUCAUAUAUUCUCUUUUAUUUAUUUUAAAUAGAUCGUUUGCAUUGUUGAUAUGUAAUAUCCUUCAGGCAACAAAGAAGUGCAAGUAGGUUUUGAAAUAAUUUUAAAAUAAGAAAGGAAAAUAAAUGGGGAAAAGUGGAAAAUUAAUAAUUUACUAAAUAAAUAUAUUUAGUAAAAUAAAUAUUAGGGUCCUAUAUGUCAGUCUCUUGGCUAGCUAUUUUUCCACAAAUUAUCUUGCUGAAUGCUUCCAAUAACUUCAUGAGCCAUGUUUUCUUUUCUUUUCUUUUCUUUUUUCUUCCUUUUUA
rnacentral:lncRNA from 1 species